UUAAUCCCGCUAUUGCAUUCCAUUUCGAGUCAUUCAACCCCAAAAUUCUAGUACACACUAAAGCUUGCCUUUGGGCAUAUCAGGGGCAGCGGGAGAAUUUAGAAUUUCGACAUGUGGUACACUAUUUAUCUCAUGGAGAUUCUAAUUUUU
rnacentral:telomerase_RNA from 14 species